rnacentral:rRNA from 1 species
GACGAACGCUGGCGGCGUGCCUAACACAUGCAAGUCGAGCGAAUGAAGUUCCUUCGGGAACGGAUUUAGCGGCGGACGGGUGAGUAACACGUGGGCAACCUGCCUCAUAGAGGGGAAUAGCCUUCCGAAAGGGAGAUUAAUACCGCAUAAGAUUGUAGUACCGCAUGGUACAGCAAUUAAAGGAGCAAUCCGCUAUGAGAUGGGCCCGCGGCGCAUUAGCUAGUUGGUGAGGUAACGGCUCACCAAGGCGACGGUGCGUAGCCGACCUGAGAGGGUGAUCGGCCACAUUGGGACUGAGACACGGCCCAGACUCCUACGGGAGGCAGCAGUGGGGAAUAUUGCACAAUGGGGGAAACCCUGAUGCAGCAACGCCGCGUGAGUGAUGACGGCUUUCGGGUUGUAAAGCUCUGUCUUCAGGGACGAUAAUGACGGUACCUGAGGAGGAAGCCACGGCUAACUACGUGCCAGCCGCCGCCGUAACAC